UGGGGAAAAUUGGACAAUGGGCGAAAGCCUGAUCCAGCCAUGCCGCGUGUGUGAAGGAGGUCUUCGGAUUGUAAAGCACUUUAAGUUGGGAGGAAGGGCAGUAAGCGAAUACCUUGCUGUUUUGACGUUACCGACAGAAUAAGCACCGGCUAACUCUGUGCCAGCAGCCGCGGUAAUACAGAGGGUGCAAGCGUUAAUCGGAAUUACUGGGCGUAAAGCGCGCGUAGGUGGUUCGUUAAGUUGAAUGUGAAAGCCCCGGGCUCAACCUGGGAACUGCAUCCAAAACUGGCGAGCUAGAGUAGGGCAGAGGGUGGUGGAAUUUCCUGUGUAGCGGUGAAAUGCGUAGAUAUAGGAAGGAACACCAGUGGCGAAGGCGACCACCUGGGCUCAUACUGACACUGAGGUGCGAAAGCGUGGGGAGCAAACAGG
rnacentral:rRNA from 1 species